rnacentral:rRNA from 1 species
UACGUAGGGGGGCAAGCGUUGUCCGGAAUCAUUGGGCGUAAAGAGCGUGUAGGCGGUCCGGUAAGUCGGCUGUGAAAGUCCAGGGCUCAACCCUGGGAUGCCGGUCGAUACUGCCGGACUAGAGUUCGGAAGAGGCGAGUGGAAUUCCCGGUGUAGCGGUAAAAUGCGCAGAUAUCGGGAGGAACACCUAUGGCGAAGGCAGCUCGCUGGGACGUUACUGACGCUGAGACGCGAAAGCGUGGGGAG